CCUCAAAAUCAUAAGAUUACUGUUGUCUGUACAGUCACUUAGUAUAGAGGACUUCACCAUGGGGUGGAGCUGUAUCAUCCUCUUCCUGGUAGCAACAGCUACGGGUGUCCACUCACAGGUCCAGCUGCAACAGUCUGGGCCUGAGCUGGUAAAGCCUGGGGCCUCAGUGAAGAUUUCUUGCAAGGCUUCUGGCUAUACAUUCACUGACUAUGAGAUGUCCUGGGUGAAGCAGAGUCAUGGAAAAAGCCUAGAGUGGAUUGGAGCUAUUAAUGCAUAUGGUGGUACUGCUUACAAUGAAAAAUUCAAGGGCAAGGCCACACUGACUGUAGACAAAUCCUCCAGCACUGCCUAUAUGGAGCUUAACAGAUUGACAUCUGAAGACUCUGCAGUCUAUUACUGUGCAAGACACAGUGUUGCAACCACAUCCUGAACAUGUGAAAAACCC